UCUAUAUUUCAAUGAUUUAAUAAUACAUUUUCAUAAUUGAUAUAUAAUAUUCGGUUGACAAGUAUAGCAAUAUCCAUGUUAAUCAAAAGCUAUCAUAAUAACCUCAAGAUGGCUCUGUUUGCGGGUAUAUAUUCAAAAACAUUUAACAACGUUCGAACUCUAUGACGUAGAAUCAAUUUUUUUCAUUUAUCAUGUGUCCAGACAAGUUGCAAUGAAAAAGCCUUCAUGGUCUUUGGAUGUAAUUAAUAUUGUAGUGUUUUAUAUAAAUUAAUGUGGAAAUAACAAUUCGUAACAAUUGAUGAAAAUUCUAAAUUAUGUAUUAUGAAUCAUUGAAGAAACGAAUAAGUCAGACGAAAUUUUCAACUCUUCACUGCCUCACAAGCAACAUACUAACUCAUGGAUAUAAAUUUGAGCUCAUUACAUCAACUGUCAGGAUGGCCGAGCGGUCUAAGGCGCUGCGUUCAGGUCGCAGUCCACUUCUGUGGGCGUGGGUUCGAAUCCCACUUCUGACAAAAUUUUUUGGCCGACAUGAUUAAGCAUAUCGUUGAUUAACAAAAUAUACUAAUAUUAUUCUUGCUUUUUUGAUGGCAGUGAAGUGAUUGAAUUUAUUGAAGAACACUUACCGGUAUUUUUUAACUUCUAUUAUUCAAUAUUAAACUCUCUUAUUAAUUA